GAUGAACGCUGGCGGCGUGCUUAACACAUGCAAGUCGAACGGUGAAGCCCAGCUUGCUGGGUGGAUCAGUGGCGAACGGGUGAGUAACACGUGAGCAAUCUGCCCCUGACUCUGGGAUAAGCGCUGGAAACGGCGUCUAAUACUGGAUAUGAACCGUGGAGGCAUCUUCAACGGUUGGAAAGAUUUUUUGGUCAGGGAUGAGCUCGCGGCCUAUCAGCUUGUUGGUGAGGUAAUGGCUCACCAAGGCGUCGACGGGUAGCCGGCCUGAGAGGGUGACCGGCCACACUGGGACUGAGACACGGCCCAGACUCCUACGGGAGGCAGCAGUGGGGAAUAUUGCACAAUGGGCGCAAGCCUGAUGCAGCAACGCCGCGUGAGGGAUGACGGCC
rnacentral:rRNA from 1 species